UGGGCUUUGGCACUUGCUCCUGAGCACUGGGGGUGUGAGGUGUGUCCCAGUGAGGUGCUGUGGGGGGUUCAGCUCCUUCUGUUGGUUCCUUGGGAUUGCUGGCAUGAGGAUGGGUGCAUGUUUGGCUGUGGGCAGCAUUGAGUGGAAGGAUGUUGUUCCGUGCUGCAGAGCGGGUGCAGCUCAGCACAGCAGACCCCAGCUGCCGAUCUGCACGCUACAUCAAAGCCGUGCAGGGAGAUGGCCAAGGCAUCCUCCAGCGCUGGGGAACUAUCGAGUCUUCCUGCGCUGCCAGGAUUUCUGAAAGAUGUAACUGAGACAGAACAUACUGCUUUAAUCAGCUGGUGAUAUCUCAGUUGACUUUAUUUGCAUCUGCUCCCCACCGAUCCUGUGGAGAGAGGCAGACCCGAGGUCAGGCUCUGUUGGACCUGGGGCUGCACGAGCUUGGAUGAGCUCCCUUGGACAGUCGGCAGUGCACAAAGGGCUGAUGAGAAAGGGAUACAGCUCGGUGUGUUGGCACUUGUGUGUGGUGCUUGUAUUAAAAGUCCUUGCUGUCAAGCCAGCCAUCACUUAUAA